AGCGAACGCUGGCGGCAGGCCUAACACAUGCAAGUCGAACGAACUCUUCGGAGUUAGUGGCGGACGGGUGAGCAACACGUGGGAACGUGCCUUUUGGUUCGGAAUAACUCAGGGAAACUUGUGCUAAUACCGAAUGUGCCCUUCGGGGGAAAGAUUUAUCGCCAUUAGAGCGGCCCGCGUCUGAUUAGCUAGUUGGUGAGGUAACGGCUCACCAAGGCGACGAUCAGUAGCUGGUCUGAGAGGAUGACCAGCCACACUGGGACUGAGACACGGCCCAGACUCCUACGGGAGGCAGCAGUGGGGAAUCUUGCGCAAUGGGCGAAAGCCUGACGCAGCCAUGCCGCGUGAAUGAUGAAGGUCUUAGGAUUGUAAAAUUCUUUCACCGGGGACGAUAAUGACGGUACCCGGAGAAGAAGCCCCGGCUAACUUCGUG
rnacentral:rRNA from 1 species